AAUAUUCUGUCAAUAAACACAUUAUGAGGCAGCUUCAGCUGAAUGAUAAUUCUUCCAUUUUUAAAAAGUUACAGGUUUCUUGUAGUUUCAGUGAAAGUAACAUCCAACAACUUUCUUGGUUGUGUAGUCAAAGGUACUUGAGUCAUUGGCAUGCAAGAUCAAUAUACCUGCAUAUUAUUCUUAAGUUUUGAUUAAAAUAACUUAUAGUUUUGCUGCCAUACGAUGUUGGAUAUCAUUGGUUUGUCCUGCUCCC